GACGAACGCUGGCGGCGUGCCUAAUACAUGCGAGUAGAACGCACAGUUUAUACCGUAGCUUGCUACACCAUAGACUGUGAGUUGCGAACGGGUGAGUAACGCGUAGGUAACCUGCCUGGUAGCGGGGGAUAACUAUUGGAAACGAUAGCUAAUACCGCAUAAUAUUGAUUAUUGCAUGAUAAUUGAUUGAAAGAUGCUAUUGCAUCACUACCAGAUGGACCUGCGUUGUAUUAGCUAGUAGGUGAGGUAACGGCUCACCUAGGCGACGAUACAUAGCCGACCUGAGAGGGUGAGCGGCCACACUGGGACUGAGACACGGCCAAGACUCCUACGGGAGGCAGCAGUAGGGAAUCUUCGGCAAUGGACGAAAGUCUGACCGAGCAACGCCGCGUGAGUGAAGAAGGUUUUCGGAUCGUAAAGCUCUGUUGUAAGAGAAGAACGGGUGUGAGAGUGGAAAGUUCACACUGUGACGGUAUCUUACCAGAAAGGGACGGCUAACUACGUG
rnacentral:rRNA from 1 species